AUGACCCAAGGAGAGCAAGCGCGGGGAGACGGAGGUGGUGACCCUUCCCUCCCCUGGGGCCCGAUCGUGAGGGUCGGUCUCUUUUCUUUCGGACCCUUACCUUGUCCCAGGCGCUGCCGGGGCCUGGGCCCGGGCCCGGGCUGCGGCGCACGGCACUCCCGGGAGGCGGCAGGACUCGAGUUAGGCCCAACGCGGCGCCACGGCGUUUCCUGGCCGGGAAUGGCCCGUACCCGUGAGGUGGGGGUGGGGGGCAGAAAGGCGGAGCGAACCAAAGGCGGGGAGGGGGGAGGGCCAGGGAAAGAGGAGGGCCGGCACUACUGUGUUGGCGGACUGGCGGGACUGGGGCUGCCGGCGGCGGCGGCGGCGGCGGCAGCUCACUCAGCCCGCUGCCCGAGCGGAAACGCCACUGACCGCACGGGGAUUCCCAGCGCCGGCGCCAGGGGCACCCGGGACACGCCCCCUCCCGCCGCGCCAUUGGCCUCUCCGCCCACCGCCUCUCACCCAUUGGUCCGCUCGCCGCCAAUCAGGGGAAGCCGUCGGGGCCGCCUAGAGAAGAGGCUGUGCUCUGGGGCUCCGGCUCCUCAGAGAGCCUCGGCUAGAUGGCGUAUUCUGGUUGGAGUAAAGCGCCUGUCAGUUAACAGCGUCGGGAGUGCGCAGCCGCCUAGCGACCCUCGUGUUGCCCCCUGGGUGGGGCGGGUAGGUAGGUGGGGUGGGGAGACGCUGGGUGUGCGGGCGCGGCCGGCUUCCCGCGGCGGGAGGGGAGGGUCAGUGAAAGUGGCUCCGGCGUGGGCGUCCUCUCUCACCCUCCCCUUCCUUCGGGGGAGUCGGUUUACCCGCCGCCUGCUUCUCCUUCGACACCUGAUUGGAUGCCGAAGCUGGGGGACCGGGCUCAUGCUACUGGCUCGAGUCCCACAUGAGCGAAACCACUGCGCGGGGCGCGGGGGUGGCGGGGAGGCGGGCAUUGGUACGGUCCUCCACGAGGCCCAGCGCCGCAGUGUCUGGCCCCGCGCCCCUGCGCAACGUGGCAGGAAGCGCGCGCUGGAGGCGGGGGCGGGCUGCCGGCCGAGACUUAUGGAUGGCGGCGGCGGCGGCCGCGGUUCCGCCCCUGGUCCCCGCUGCCUGAAGGGCGAGACAAGCCCGACUUGCUACGGGCACUCGUGGGGGUGGGGGAGGAGCGGGGGGGUCGGUCCGGCCAGUUUGUAGGUGGGAGGUGCAUGUUCUCCAAAUACCGGCGCGAGCUGCAAUCCUGAGGGAGCUGCGGUGGAGGAGGCGGAGAGAAGGCCGCACCCUUCUGGGCAGGGGGUGGGGAGUGCCGCAAUACCUUUAUGGGAGUUCUCUGCUGCCUCCGGUCUUCUAAGGACCGCCCUGGGCCUGGAAGAAUCCCUCCCUCCGCUCUCUCAGCCCCCCUUGAUCUCGUCAUCGCCUCCAUGUCGAGUCGCUUCUCGAUUAUGGGCGGGAUUCUUUUGCCUAGGCUUGAAGGGGCUAGCUUGGUACCUGGGCGUUGCCCUGCAACGGAGUGAGCAGGUGUUAAGAUUUGAGGGGCGAGUCGGAUUAUCUUCCCACGGACUUGAGUUGGUGUGGAGGUGGUUGUAAUAAGGGUGGGGUAGGGAAAUGGAGCCUAGGCAUUCACCUGGGGCUGAUUUUAUGCAACGAGACUGCAGGUUAUCACUAAGAUCGUUUUUUGGAGCAUUUUUCUAGAAAUAGAGAUAAAUUAAGGCAUAAUCACCUGAGUUUUACGCCAUUUGCGACCCUUGCUGCACCACCAAAGUAUAGCAUCUGAUUAAAUCGUAACGGAAAAAUUUUAGCCUUUGCUUCAGAAACCAGUGCUUCCCUCUCUCCACCUCUCUCCCCAGGCUCUCCCCUCUGCAUUCCUACCAGGCAUCUUAGGAACUCUCACUCAUAACGUUGAUCCCAUUUUCCAUUUGUUGUACUUGCUUAUCCAGUAUUCAGACAUAUCGCUGGCUUUCUCUCUCUCUUGAUCUUGGGUAGCCUGGUGAUUCAUGAAACCAGACAGAUUGGUUCCACCACAAAUUAAAGCUUGAGCUGGGGCUUGACUCUUACCCAUCAGCGCUUUUAUUCCUCCCUUGUUCACGUUCUUGAAUGUUUACCUUGGUUUUAAUUUUAUCCUUUUUCCUUUGUUGGGAUUCUAUCCCGACCCUCUUCGCAGUCCAGGUGGUCUUGACUACUGCUUUACAGAGAAUUGGACCUGAGGUUAGGUAGCAUCUCCCUUUCUCUUCCUCUAAAUACCUCUGGAGCCAUCCCUUCAUUUCUGGUCUCAUCAGUUAGUAACUAACCUCAGAUGCCAGUAUGAUAGCUUCCAGAUUGCUGGCUCUGUUUAGUGUUAUCUUCUGAUCCAUCUUAUAUCUUGUCAGGAAGAUUGUCGUGAAGGAAGAUAGAGCAUGAAAAUGACAGAUGAAUCUCCAUUAGUGGUUUGUAUUGUAAUGGAGUAAACUCCUUUACUUGCUUGUAUAUUUCAACAUUCCUUGUAAAAGAAAAACCUGAAGUUUACAGCAAAUUGUCCAAGCCGCGGGCCGCAUGGGACCCAGGACGGCUUUGAAUGCGGCCCAACAGAAAUUCGUAAACACUUAAAAUGUUAGGAGAUUUUUUUGAGGGUGUUUUGUUUUUUUUUUUUGAGGGGGGCUCAUCAGCCAUCCUUUAUGUGUGGCCCAGGGAAGCCAAAAGAUUGGACACCCCUGGUUUAUAGGAUGAAUUCUGCCCUUGUGAUUGUGAUGCACAAGGUCCUUGGAUAGACUUAAUUUAACCUUUUUCAUUUUUCACCGUUUUCCACGUAUUACACAAACAUUAUCUCUCUCUUGAAGUCACAUGGAAUACACUGCAGUUACCCAAAUCAUAGAGGCAUUGACAGUGGAGUGGUUCUUUCUGGAAUGCUACCCUUGCUGCUUCUAAUCCUGCAGAUUCAGGUGUCAUCCCCUCUCUCAUUUGGUCAUGCCUUUCAUGGUCUGUUGUCCUAUGAGCCAAACUCCCCUAUUAAAAAAGCAGUUUUCUCCUGACUUCUGAGCAGUUUGUACUGCAUGACUCAUAGUACUUCUCAGGUUGUUGUCAUUGUUGAUUUAAAUUAACUAUUCUGAGCUUUAUGAGGGGACAGUUUCUUGUAUCUUGUACUCCUGAGCUCCUGGUAUACUCUAAUGUCUAGCCAACCCUAAGUAAAUGGAGUGAGCGACGUGUAAAUGUCUUUAUGGUUUGACAUUUUAUUCAUCUUGAGCAUUGUAAAAGUGGCUGGUAGGAAUAAAGAACUGAAUUUUUAUUUUUUAUCUAAUUUAAAUUGCAACUAUGGACAGUGUUGCUGUAGCCACAGACUUGUUCUGUGGAUUACAGGAUACAUGGACAUUGAUUGCUUUCUCUUUGUACUGAGCAGUAAGGAAAUAAAACCUGAAGCUCUUUGGCCCUUUAAAUUUUAUUUAACUGCUUGUUUUAUUUUACUUUUUAUGUAUUUAGCUGAAAGCUAAAUCCAACCAUUUUUAAAGAUGUGCCUGCCUUGGACAACAAUGUGUUGAGAAACCAAGUGUUAAUGAGUUUGGAUUUCAAAAAAAAAAAAGCAUAAUGAAUUUUAGGGAGGUGAGAUUCUAUUAAACUGUUACAGGAGUUACAUAAUUAAAUAUAACAACUUUAAUUAGAAAUAGUUCUCUCUGAUAUAAAUGAACCCAGCUCUAAAUUUCAGUCCUAUACCUUUGGAGGAGCCCUAUGCAUCAUGUCUUCAGUUGUAGAAAACAGUAACUAAGUUUUAUCCUGAGGAAUUAUAAAUACCAAGAUUUUAACACCAAAUGCUUUUUAUGUGCUAAUACAGUAUCUUACACAUUUUAAUUAUUUAUUUAUUUAUUUUUGAGAUGGAGUCUUACCCUGUCACCCAGUCUGGCGUGCAAUGGCAUGAUCAUGACUCACGCAGCCUUGACUUCUUGGGCUCAAGUGAUCCUCCUGCCUCAGUCUCCUGAGUAGCUGGGACUACAGGCACAUGCUUCCAUGCCCAGUUUUUGUGUGUUUUUUUGUAGAGAUGGAGUUUUCCUGUGCUGCACAGGUUGGAACUCCAGGGCUUAAGUUAUCUUCCUGCCUAAGUCUCCCAAAGUCCUGGGAUUACAGGUGUGAGUCACUGCUCUGGGCCAUUGAAUAUCCUUUUAAAAAUACAUUUUAAUUUAAAGUUUUUCUUUAGAAAAUAAGACCCUUGGGUCAGUGGUCUUCAAACCUCCUGUGUGCAGAGACAGUUGCCUUACUUAAUGCAGAUUCCCAGACCACCGAAGAUGCUGAAUUCUUCUGGGGAAGGUGGAACCCCACAGGGCAGGCAGUAUAAUUCGGUAUCUUUUCAAGUUCAUUUGCUUACUCAGAUAGAACCCCAGGGCUAUAGUAUCCUAUUUACGUGCCAAAAAUGAUUAAAAUUUCAGAGAAAUUCUUCUCAAUUGUACAGUAUGUGUCCCUCAAUUUUUUUUUCUCAAAUGAACUGUUUUUUCCUCCCCCUAAAAAAUAACAGAAUGGGGAAACAUUUUGAAAGGCAAAGAGGAAUAGUAAUACUUUUGGAAACUUGCAGGUCAGUUUUUUUUUGUUUGUUUUAACAAGGAAUGUUGAAAUAUAUUUUCGAACAAGAGAAGUUCACCUUAUUUUUUGUUUCUCCUACUUAAUUGCAGUCCUUAAGGAAAGCGAUUUUUCACUCCUCAGUACCUAAGCACAGAGCUGGGAGCUCAAAAAAUGUUAGUUUUGUUGGUUUAUAUGUGAAAUUGAUUCUCAAGUAAUAGUUAAGCUCAGAAAACAUAACAACAAGGCUCCUUUUUGGGAGAGACUUCAGGGUCACAUUUAACCUAUGUCAAGUCUCCUAAUAUUCUAUUCAUAGAGGAAACUGAUGCCCCCUGGUCUCUGAAUACAUCUAUCCCAUCAUUCACUUCUUUGGGUUUCCUGUACUAACCAUUGCAAUUAGCCUCUUCCUGUGCUUUACUUCCUUGAGCUUUUUGUUUAAAUUAAUCAGCUACCUAGCUCCUUUUCAAGUAGUUACAUACUACUUCCUACACUUAUAAGACAAAUUUAUUAGGUAUAUUACACACUUGUACUUGCAUGAGAAAGCUGUUGAAGGUUUUUGGAGGGCUAGUGUGUAUGUGUUAGAUUUGCAAAAGUUAAACUAGUUAGGUUACUUCCAUCUAUUUUUUGUGAAUGGGGGUUUGGUGUAAUUAUAUAAUUCUGUUUUGCAACACUAGUUUGACUGUUAAGUUAGUUGUAGAGCACCUUGUUAGGUCCCAAAUCCAGAAGUCUGGUGGCAUUGGACUUUGCAGGUUGCUAACUUAGUGGCAUACUAAUUUAUAUUAGAGGGCAUACUUCUCAAGAAGACUUUUUUCCUUGUCCAUGACUCUCUGUUCUUGAGAUUAGAUAAUAUAUUGGAUUACUAGAGAAUUGUUAGUGAGCAGUGAAUCAACUAGUUUUGUUUUAUCUAGACCAGGGUUAAACCUAAUGAAUUCUUUCUGUUCUGUUAUGGAGUGUACUUUCUUAGUGACAAGAAAGACUUCCUGCCUCUGAUUUUUAUCUCAGUCAUGGUUACAUUCAAUAAUCCUGCUUUCCAGCGUGUUUCCUAGAGCUCAGUCAUCAGUCACCUUUCGUUUUCUGGUUUGGUUUUUUUUUUUUUUUUUCUU